GUGGGGAAUAUUGCGCAAUGGGCGAAAGCCUGACGCAGCGACGCCGCGUGAGGGAUGAAGGUUUUCGGAUCGUAAACCUCUGUCAGAAGGGAAGAAGUUGCAUGGGGCCAAUCACCUGUGCAUUGACGGUACCUUCAAAGGAAGCACCGGCUAACUCCGUGCCAGCAGCCGCGGUAAUACGGAGGGUGCGAGCGUUAAUCGGAAUUACUGGGCGUAAAGCGCACGUAGGCUGUAUGUCAAGUCAAGGGUGAAAUCCCACGGCUCAACCGUGGAACUGCCUUUGAAACUGGCAAACUGGAGUAUGUGAGAGGGCGGCGGAAUUCCUGGUGUAGGAGUGAAAUCCGUAGAUAUCAGGAGGAACAUCAGUGGCGAAGGCGGCCGCCUGGCACAAAACUGACGCUGAGGUGCGAAAGCGUGGGUAGCAAACAGGAUUAGAAACCCUUGUAGUCC
rnacentral:rRNA from 1 species